CCUGCGGAGAUGCGCCCACGCGCGCGUGGCGCGAAUCUGAUUCAAAAUUCCACGGAGUGUAUAUUGAUUCAGCUGAAUUAACACUUAACACGUUCGCGCAGCGUGCCGGCGUGGCGCGGCGCGGCGCGGCGGCGGCCACGCACGUCGCUUCGUGGAACGCCUCGCGUUUGUGAACCGCGAUCUCUCGAGGCCGUCUCUGUUUAGGAGUUGCUGACAGAGCCAUGAGGCAACGAGCGUUGCGCUAUUCGAACCGGAGGAAAUCGAACAAGCUCUAAAUUCAACGGAACAACUCACAUGCGGCCUAAAAAAGAUCUGAAAAAAGAAGAACAAUGUGUACGAUGCUCUACAGACGUAAUUGGAAAAUCUAGGCGGAAAUGUAAGCGGUUCAAAGGCUCGACCGCCCUCGUUGGAGCAAUUCUGCGCCCUCAGGGACCAGCAGGCCACAAACUGCAGUUUUUCGAAUCCGGGAGCCCCGAGGGGUAGUAAGGUGAAGCGUAUCCGCGAGUGCGGUGGUCUUCCAUUCCGGCAAAUGUCCGCCCCACGCGACCUCAAUUUAUUCGACACCUCCCCUCGCCUUCAGCGCUUGGAAACUGCUCCGAAUCUUUUUGGCGCGAGGGAGCAACGCAGUAUGCGUCUCGAAUUCGAUCGAGAACAGACCGAGAAUGGCCAAGGGUGAGCAAAACCCGCGGUACCGGUAUCGUAAAAGAGUUAUUAUGCUAAUGAACAGUGCG
rnacentral:misc_RNA from 1 species